AUUUCGUGAUGGGGACAUUUUCUCAAGAACUCGUUAAAAUGAUCCCACGCAUCAUACAAAGACUCCCCCUCUAUUUGAUAGAAUUAUAAAUCUCUCCCCUCAACUU